ACAAGAGUUGAGGGUACUGUUGAUGCAGCAUCUGCUAAAAAGUUAAUUGAAGGUGUACUUGGAACCAAUUCAGGUGGUGAAGAGGUUCUCCAGGAAUAUCACACAACACAAACUCUGACAGAUGCUACCAGAAGAAAAAUGGUCAAUAUAAUAGUGGCUCACAUGAUUGAUUGCCAUGGGCACCUCCCCACCAAAGCUGUUAGAGAACAGUACGCGCUAGGGGUAGUGACAUUGUUCCCAUCCCUGAAAGACCCAUACUCCAAGAAAGGCUAUGUAUAGUCACUACUAUUGCACUUUGUUUACAUAAUUUUCAUGCUGUGCAUCAU